GAGUCUAGCAUGUGCGCGAGUCAUUGGGAACUCUCGAAACCUAAAGGCGAAAUGAAAGUGAAGGUCCGCCUCGCGCGGACCGAGGGAAGAUGGGCCCGUCCACGGACGGGCCCCGCACUCCCGGGGCGUCUCGUUCUCAUCGCGAGAGGAGGCGCACCCAGAGCGUACACGCUGGGACCCGAAAGAUGGUGAACUAUGCCUGGUCAGGACGAAGUCAGGGGAAACCCUGAUGGAGGUCCGUAGCGAUUCUGACGUGCAAAUCGAUCGUCGGAACUGGGUAUAGGGGCGAAAGACUAAUCGAACCAUCUAGUAGCUGGUUCCCUCCGAAGUUUCCCUCAGGAUAGCUGGCGCUCGCCGCGUGCGAGUCUCAUCCGGUAAAGCGAAUGAUUAGAGGCAUUGGGGUCGAAACGGCAUCAACCUAUUCUCAAACUUUAAAUGGGUGAGAUCUCCGGCUUGCUCGAACACGUGAAGCCGCGAGAUUUCGGAUCAGAGUGCCAAGUGGGCCAAUUUUGGUAAGCAGAACUGGCGCUGUGGGAUGAACCAAACGCAGAGUUAAAGCGCCUAAAUCGACGCUUAUGGGAUACCAUGAAAGGCGUUGGUAACUUAAGACAGCAGGACGGUGGCCAUGGAAGUCGGA
rnacentral:rRNA from 1 species